AAUAUUUUUGUGCAUUGGAGCUAAUAGAAGUGUUCCAUUAUAGAGCUUUUGAGAUACACGUCAACAAAGUAGAGGGAGCCUUUGCGGUCAAUAUCAAAAAUCUUAUUGGACAUCCAACAACAGCCAUAAAAACCCAUACAGGAAAAUAUAUGAUAAGAAUAAAAGAGUUAUAUUAAUAUAUAUAAAAAUGGCAGCUAUUGAACAUCAAUUAGAAAUUCUACUCAAAAAAUGGAACUUACUACAUUUACUUUCCAACUUAAAAGAUGAAAAUAUAACGAUUGAUGUCUUACAAAUAAUUAACAGAAAACAUUUAGAGGAACUCACACGAAGAUUUAAAUUAGGAGACAAAAUAGUUUUUGAGUUUAAUAUUAAUAAAUGGAGAGAAGAAAUCGGAAAACCUAUUGAAAACGAAUAUUACUCAGACGUGGCCAAUAUUUCGUCUAUCUCACGGAAAUCUAGCUGUUCUUCUAUUACUUUAUCUCAAGAACCUCUGAAAGAACGCUUUGACUCCAAUACCUGUGUAAAACUGACGACAAUUUUGAACCAAAAUAAAAUUGGCAAAAGAAUUUUAGAGACCUAUAAAAAAUACGAACAUAUAAAUGAAGAUCAACGAAAUUUAAUAAUUACAACAAUAGCUAGUUAUUUUCAUGCAAAUGAGUUGCACAUGUCUUUACAAGAAAGCUAUAAUUUGGAAAAACAAAUAAUAGAAAUGUUUCCCAAUGAGAAACUCCAUUCUUACCGCACCGACAGACGUG